rnacentral:misc_RNA from 1 species
UCACCUUCAAGCACAGCUUGGUGUUGGGCGUCUGUCCUGCCGUCGGUUAGGACUCGCCUCAAAACGAUUGGCAGCCACUUCAGCGGCUUUGAGCGCAGCAGAAUUGCGUCUCUCGCGGCGGAAGGGGGCCUCCAGAAGCUUCUUUUUAA